GUAGGAUUACCCGCCGAACUUAAGCAUAUCAAUAA
rnacentral:rRNA from 1 species